rnacentral:rRNA from 1 species
UGGGGAAUUUUGGACAAUGGGCGAAAGCCUGAUCCAGCAAUGCCGCGUGUGUGAAGAAGGCCUUCGGGUUGUAAAGCACUUUUGUCCGGAAAGAAAUCCUUGGCUCUAAUACAGUCGGGGGAUGACGGUACCGGAAGAAUAAGCACCGGCUAACUACGUGCCAGCAGCCGCGGUAAUACGUAGGGUGCAAGCGUUAAUCGGAAUUACUGGGCGUAAAGCGUGCGCAGGCGGUUUGCUAAGACCGAUGUGAAAUCCCCGGGCUCAACCUGGGAACUGCAUUGGUGACUGGCAGGCUAGAGUAUGGCAGAGGGGGGUAGAAUUCCACGUGUAGCAGUGAAAUGCGUAGAGAUGUGGAGGAAUACCGAUGGCGAAGGCAGCCCCCUGGGCCAAUACUGACGCUCAUGCACGAAAGCGUGGGGAGCAAACAGGAUUAGAUACCCUGGUAGUCCACGCCCUAAAACAAUGUCAACUAGUUGUUGGGGAUUCAUUUUCCUUAGUAACGUAGCUAACGCGUGAAGUUGACCGCCUGGGGAGUACGGUCGCAAGAUUAAAACUCAAAUGAAUUGACGGGGUCAUAGCUGUUUCCU